rnacentral:rRNA from 1 species
AUUGAACGCUGGCGGCAUGCUUUACACAUGCAAGUCGAACGGUAACAGGGAGCUUGCUCCGCUGACGAGUGGCGAACGGGUGAGUAAUGCGUCGGAACGUGCCGAGUAGUGGGGGAUAACGCAUCGAAAGGUGUGCUAAUACCGCAUACGUACUGAGGUAGAAAGUGGGGGACCUUCGGGCCUCACGCUAUUCGAGUGGCCGACGUCUGAUUAGCUAGUUGGUGAGGUAAAGGCUCACCAAGGCGCCGAUCAGUAGCGGGUCUGAGAGGAUGAUGCGCCACACUGGGACUGAGAUACGGCCCAGACUCCUACGGGAGGCAGCAGUGGGGAAUUUUGGACAAUGGGCGCAAGCCUGAUCCAGCCAUGCCGCGUGUCUGAAGAAGGCCUUCGGGUUGUAAAGGACUUUUGUCCGGGAGCAAAUGCCUGGUGUUAAUAGCACUGGGAGCUGAGAGUACCGGAAGAAUAAGCACCGGCUAACUACGUGCCAGCAGCCGCGGUAA